AUUGAACGCUGGCGGCAGGCCUAACACAUGCAAGUCGAGCGAGAAAGCACUUCGGUGUGAGUAUAGCGGCGGACGGGUGAGUAACGCGUAGGAAUCUACCUAGUAGUGGGGGACAACAUGUGGAAACGCAUGCUAAUACCGCAUACGCCCUACGGGGGAAAGCGGGGGAUCUUCGGACCUCGUGCUAUUAGAUGAGCCUGCGUAAGAUUAGCUAGUUGGUGAGGUAAAGGCUCACCAAGGCGACGAUCUUUAGCUGGUCUGAGAGGAUGAUCAGCCACACUGGGACUGAGACACGGCCCAG
rnacentral:rRNA from 1 species